rnacentral:rRNA from 1 species
UGGCGGACGGGGGAGUAAUGUCUGGGAAACUGCCCGAUGGAGGGGGGUAACUACUGGAAACGGUAGCUAAUACCGCAUAAGUCGCAAGACCAAAGAGGGGGACCUUCGGGCCUCUUGCCAUCGGAUGUGCCCAGAUGGGAUUAGCUAGUAGGUGGGGUAAAGGCUCACCUAGGCGACGAUCCCUAGCUGGUCUGAGAGGAUGACCAGCCACACUGGAACUGAGACACGGUCCAG